rnacentral:tRNA from 1 species
GGCAGUGUAGCAAAGCGGCAAACGCAGCAGACUGUAAAUCUGUUCUCAUCGAGUUCGUUGGUUCGAGUCCAACCACUGCCA